AACUUUGGGUAAGCGACGUAAAACACCAAUCUCCUCGGCUGGUUGGCACGCGUUGCGGUCGCGUAGCGGCCAGGGUGGCACUGAGACGCGCGUUUCGGAGAGCGAUAACCUACAUAAUGGGGAGCGUACUGGGAACAGGGCAAAUG
ensembl:ncRNA Y71F9AL.20 ncRNA